rnacentral:lncRNA from 1 species
UUCGAGACCAGCCUGGACAACAUUGCAAGACCUCAUCUCUACAAAAAAUUUUAAAAUUAGCUGGGCUGGUUAUGCAGGCUUGUAGUCUCAGCUACUCAGGAGGCUGGGGUGGGAAGAUUGAGCCCAGGAGUUCAAAGCUGCAGUAAGUUGUGAUCAUACCACUGCACUCCAGCCUGUGUACCAGAACAAGGCCCUGUCUCCAGAAAAAAAAGUGAUGAUGUAGGACAUAAGGUGGAAGAGGAACUAUGAAGGGCCUUAUAUUCCAGGCUAAAAAUUAACUGACCACAAUUAAGGCUGCCUAGGGGAAUAAUGAAGUAAUCCUCCUAUUAUCAGCAAUGGUCUGAUCCAGUGCCAGGCACCACAGACAACUUGGUGUUCAGAGAAGAUCCUUCAAGAUGAACAAAGGGUCAAAAUAAAAAAUUCUAGAAGAGAGAAGACUGAUCACAAUUUAAUGUAAGGCUUGGAAGGAACUGAUCUCUACCUUCCUUAACAUCUCAAGAACUUCCUCAGAUUCAUUGGAUGUUGAGUGUGUGUGAGUCUAGUAGAAAAAUGAAUUUUUGUUUCUUAACUUGGAUAUGUGAUUAGGAUGUUAAUAAUUAAGUCUGGGCUAAUAUUGAAGGUAUCUUAUGAUGGGCUUCUUAAAGCAUUGAUCACAAAGACUGCAUGUUCAUAAACUGAGCUGCACUUGUUAGGAUUCUAGAUGUUUGAAAUUUCUUGUGUUAUUUUGGUCUCAGAUUUCUAGACAAAUUUUCUCAAAUUCCUAUUUCACUUUUUGACAUAUCAUGAGUGACUCAAAUGUUUGCCCUUGAGUCGGAAAACACCCAGCAUUAGGAAUAGGCACAUAAACAUAAUACUUCAAGCUUCAGAUUUAAGCUCAAUUAUAAAGUGUUUAAAGGCUGUGCUGAUAGUUCUUCUGAGUAGAAUUCCUACAACUAUGGGUUUGUCUAUAAUAAAAUGUUCACUCUAUAUUGAAC